UUCUCGAAUUAAGAAGAGCUAUUUAUUUUAUUGUAAUAAAUAUUUAUAAUAUGUAAUGAAACGUUAAUAUAUCUAGUUUUCCAAGAAAAUUUAAUUUAGGUAUAUUUUUGGGGAUGAGCUCAAAAUAGGAUUAGAAGUUUUGUUAUAAUUUAUUUAUUGGAAUAUUUUAAUUAAUAAUUGAAGAAAUUAUGAUAAAAUUAGUAUAAGGUUUAAUAAAGGAAUUCGGCAAAAGUUUUUCACCUGUUUAUUAAAAACAUGGCCUUUUGAAAAUAAUUUAAGGUCUAGCCUGCCCUAUGAGGCCGCGGUACUCUGACCGUGCAAAGGUAGCAUAAUAAUUAGUUUUUUAAUUGAAAGCUGGAAUGAACGGUUGAAUGAGAAAACAUCUGUCUCUUUUAAAUAGAAUUUUAUCUCUGAGUAAAAAAGCUUAGAUUUUAUUAAAAGACGAGAAGACCCUAUAGAGUUUUAUUUUAGUUGGGGUGAUUAAAAAAUUAAUAAAACUUUUGAUUAAAAGACUAAAUUACCUUAGGGAUAACAGCGUAAUUUUUUUUAGAGUUCUAAUCGAAAAAAGAGUUUGCGACCUCGAUGUUGGAUUAAAAUUUAUUUUGGUGUAGAAGCU
rnacentral:rRNA from 1 species